AAAUGUACUGCCGUGCCGCUGGUCGCGU
rnacentral:sRNA from 1 species